rnacentral:rRNA from 1 species
GAUGAACGCUGGCGGCGUGCUUAAUACAUGCAAGUCGAGCGGUCAGGCGGGGGCUUGCCCUGCUGGACGUGAGGCGCACAGGGGAGAAAAACAUGAGCAAUACGCCCCUGAAUCAGGGGGAAGCCCUGGGAACGCCGUCUCAUAUUGGAUACGAGCUGCGAAGGCAUCUGCAGCAACAGGGAAGAACGUCGGUCAGGGAUGGGCUCGAGGGCUAUCCGCUUGUUGGUGAAGUAAUGGCUCACAAAGCCUACGAAGGGUAGCCCGCCUGGGAGGGUGACCGGCCACACUGGGACUGAGACACGGCCCAGACGCCUACGGGAGGCAGCAGUGGGGAAUAUUGCACAAUGGGCGAAAGCCUGAUGCAGCAACGCCGCGUGAGGGACGACGUCCUUCGGGUUGUAAACCUCUGUUAGCAGGGAAGAAGCGAAAGUGACGGUACCUGCAGAAAAAGCGCCGGCUAACUACGUG